rnacentral:tRNA from 1 species
CCACUGGUAGUUCAGUGGUAGGAUUAUCCCUUUCCACGUGGAAGACCCAGGUUAGAUUCCUGGCCAAUGCC